rnacentral:rRNA from 1 species
UGGGGAAUUGUGGACAAUGGGGGAAACCCUGAUCCAGCCAUCCCGCGUGUGCGAUGAAGGCCUUCGGGUUGUAAAGCACUUUUGGCAGGAAAGAAACGUCAUGGGUUAAUACCCCGUGAAACUGACGGUACCUGCAGAAUAAGCACCGGCUAACUACGUGCCAGCAGCCGCGGUAAUACGUAGGGUGCAAGCGUUAAUCGGAAUUACUGGGCGUAAAGCGUGCGCAGGCGGUUCGGAAAGAAAGAUGUGAAAUCCCAGAGCUCAACUUUGGAACUGCAUUUUUAACUACCGGGCUAGAGUGUGUCAGAGUGAGGUGGAAUUCCGCGUGUAGCAGUGAAAUGCGUAGAUAUGCGGAGGAACACCGAUGGCGAAGGCAGCCUCCUGGGAUAACACUGACGCUCAUGCACGAAAGCGUGGGGAGCAAACAGG